UGGAGCUGCGUUUUCAACCAAUGAAGCUUAAACACACCUUGUUUCAGAGCAAGUGAGGAGAAACCAAGAUGACUUCCAUCCGCAGGACAAAAACAACAACACGGCCUGUGUCACCGUCCUCUGCUUGUUGGGGAGGUAGACUCGGAUGGUGCCGCCACCACGGGGUACAUCCUCCGGGCUUCACAGCCGCUGCUAACGGGUUAGCUGCUAAUUAAAUGUGUGUCUCAAAAGGAGUCCGGAAGGAUGAAGGCUGCUAAGUGUUGCUAGCURGUGUCUAAGCAAAUGAAGAUGAAAGAGGAAGCCAGAGAAA